rnacentral:rRNA from 1 species
UACGUAGGGGGCAAGCGUUGUCCGGAAUCAUUGGGCGUAAAGCGCGUGUAGGCGGUUCAGUAAGUCCGCUCUGAAAGCCCGGGGCUCAACCCCGGGAGGCGGGUGGAUACUGCUGGACUAGAGUACGGAAGAGGCGAGUGGAAUUCCCGGUGUAGCGGUGAAAUGCGCAGAUAUCGGGAGGAACACCAAUUGCGAAGGCAGCUCGCUGGGACGUCACUGACGCUGAGACGCGAAAGCGUGGGGAGCAAACAGGAUUAGAAACCCCCGUAGUCC